rnacentral:rRNA from 1 species
CUGCAACUGUUUAUUAAAAACACAGCACUGUGCAAACACGAAAGUGGACGUAUACGGUGUGACGCCUGCCCGGUGCCGGAAGGUUAAUUGAUGGGGUCAGCGCAAGCGAAGCUCCUGAUCGAAGCCCCGGUAAACGGCGGCCGUAACUAUAACGGUCCUAAGGUAGCGAAAUUCCUUGUCGGGUAAGUUCCGACCUGCACGAAUGGCGUAAUGAUGGCCAGGCUGUCUCCACCCGAGACUCAGUGAAAUUGAACUCGCUGUGAAGAUGCAGUGUACCCGCGGCAAGACGGAAAGACCCCGUGAACCUUUACUAUAGCUUGACACUGAACAUUGAGCCUUGAUGUGUAGGAUAGGUGGGAGGCUUUGAAGUGUGGACGCCAGUCUGCAUGGAGCCGACCUUGAAAUACCACCCUUUAAUGUUUGAUGUUCUAACGUGGACCCGUGAUCCGGGUUGCGGACAGUGUCUGGUGGGUAGUUUGACUGGGGCGGUCUCCUCCUAAAGAGUAACGGAGGAGCACGAAGGUUGGCUAAUCCUGGUCGGACAUCAGGAGGUUAGUGCAAUGGCAUAAGCCAGCUUGACUGCGAGCGUGACGGCGCGAGCAGGUGCGAAAGCAGGUCAUAGUGAUCCGGUGGUUCUGAAUGGAAGGGCCAUCGCUCAACGGAUAAAAGGUACUCCGGGGAUAACAGGCUGAUACCGCCCAAGAGUUCAUAUCGACGGCGGUGUUUGGCACCUCGAUGUCGGCUCAUCACAUCCUGGGGCUGAAGUAGGUCCCAAGGGUAUGGCUGUUCGCCAUUUAAAGUGGUACGCGAGCUGGGUUUAGAACGUCGUGAGACAGUUCGGUCCCUAUCUGCCGUGGGCGCUGGAGAACUGAGGGGGGCUGCUCCUAGUACGAGAGGACCGGAGUGGACGCAUCACUGGUGUUCGGGUUGUCAUGCCAAUGGCACUGCCCGGUAGCUAAAUGCGGAAGAGAUAAGUGCUGAAAGCAUCUAAGCACGAAACUUGCCCCGAGAUGAGUUCUCCCUGAGACUUUAGGUCUCCUGAAGGAACGUUGAAGACGACGACGUUGAUAGGCCGGGUGUGUAAGCGCAGCGAUGCGUUGAGCUAACCGGUACUAAUGAACCGUGAGGCUUAACCUUACA